rnacentral:rRNA from 1 species
GGCUCAGGAUGAACGCUAGCUACAGGCUUAACACAUGCAAGUCGAGGGGAAACGAUAGAGAAAGCUUGCUUUUUCUAGGCGUCGACCGGCGCACGGGUGAGUAACGCGUAUCCAACCUGCCCAUCACUUGGGGAUAACCUUGCGAAAGUAAGACUAAUACCCAAUGACGUCUCUAGAAGACAUCUGAAGGAGAUUAAAGAUUUAUCGGUGAUGGAUGGGGAUGCGUCUGAUUAGCUUGUUGGCGGGGUAACGGCCCACCAAGGCGACGAUCAGUAGGGGUUCUGAGAGGAAGGUCCCCCACACUGGAACUGAGACACGGUCCAAACUCCUACGGGAGGCAGCAGUGAGGAAUAUUGGUCAAUGGACGAGAGUCUGAACCAGCCAAGUAGCGUGCAGGAAGACGGCCCUAUGGGUUGUAAACUGCUUUUAUAAGGGAAUAAAGUGAGUCUCGUGAGACUUUCUGCAUGUACCUUAUGAAUAAGGACCGGCUAAUUCCGUG